rnacentral:misc_RNA from 1 species
UCCGAGUUGACCCCGGCAGUCUCCCAUGAGUCCCCGCCAUAACGCGCUGGCAACAUGGAACGAGGGUUGCGCUCGUUGCGGGACUUAACCCAACAUCUCACGACACGAGCUGACGACAGCCAUGCACCACCUGUACACCAACCACAAGGGGGGCCGUAUCUCUACGGCUUUCUAGUGCAUGUCAAGGGUAGGUAAGGUUUUUCGCGUUGCAUCGAAUUAAUCCACAUAAUCCACCGCUUGUGCGGGUCCCCGUCAAUUCCUUUGAGUUUUAGCCUUGCGGCCGUACUCCCCAGGCGGGGCACUUAAUGCGUUAGCGUCGGCGCGGAAGGAGUCGACACCUCCCACACCUAGUGCCCAUCGUUUACGGCGUGGACUAC